AGCUUAUCCUUUGCUUGAUGAUUCGA
rnacentral:piRNA from 7 species